rnacentral:sRNA from 1 species
GUUGGGCGCGGUGGCUCACGCCUGUAAUCCCAGCACUUUGGGAGACUGAGGCGGGAGGAUCACCUGAGGUCAGGAGUUCGAGACCAGCCUGGCCAACAUGGUGAAACCCUGUCUCUA